AGCUUGAAACACCGAUUCCCAUGCGAUCAUUGAAGUUAAGCAUCGUCGAGCCUGGUCAGUACCUGGAUGGGUGACCGCUUGG